CAUCUCAAAUGAUUGUUUAAUUUCUCAUCGAUUCAUCUCAUGUACAUAAAUAAAAUCCCACCUUUUUUUCAGUUUUGCAAAUAAGUAAUUGAAAUGACCAAAAACAAGCUCCAAACAUGGAGAUUUCUUCAUGAUUUGAUAUUGAUAUCUACUUUGUUUGGUCAUGUUGUAUGUCAAGACGAUGAUGAAGAUGGCGCUAGUAAGUUUGGAAACAGCUCGGCUGCUAAUCAAUUAUUCUCCAAAUAUGCUUCCGAUCGCUUUUCUAAUCUUUCUUCUAGCUUGAAGGACGAUAUAAAGGAAAAUUUUAGUUUUUGCAUUACGGAUGUGGAUGCAGAUUGGAACGGCGCAUUCAAUUUCUCAAAGAACCCCAAAUUCUUGGCCAAAUGUGCCAGAA